AUGUCAAAUCAUCAUGCCCCUUACGCCUUGGGCUUCACACGUGCUACAAUGGUCUUUACAAAGUGAUGCAAAGCUGCGAAGCAGAGCGGACCACAAAAAAAGACCCCAGUUCGGAUUGUAGGCUGCAACUCGCCUGCAUGAAGUUGGAAUCGCUAGUAAUCGCGAAUCAGAAUGUCGCGGUGAAUACGUUCCCGGGCCUU
rnacentral:rRNA from 1 species